GUGGGGAAUAUUGCGCAAUGGGGGAAACCCUGACGCAGCAACGCCGCGUGAAGGAUGAAGGUUUUCGGAUUGUAAACUUCUUUGACGAGGGACGAUAAUGACGGUACCUCGAAAACAAGCCACGGCUAACUACGUGCCAGCAGCCGCGGUAAUACGUAGGUGGCAAGCGUUGUCCGGAUUUACUGGGUGUAAAGGGCGAGUAGGCGGGAUGGCAAGUCAGCAGUGAAAUACCAUGGCUCAACUGUGGAACUGCUGUUGAAACUGCUAUUCUUGAGUGAUGGAGAGGCAGGCGGAAUUCCCGGUGUAGCGGUGAAAUGCGUAGAGAUCGGGAGGAACACCAGUGGCGAAGGCGGCCUGCUGGACAUUAACUGACGCUGAGGCGCGAAAGCGUGGGGAGCAAACAGGAUUAGAUACCCGGGUAGUCC
rnacentral:rRNA from 1 species